rnacentral:lncRNA from 10 species
UAGAGACAAGGAUCUUGCCAUGUUGCCCAGGCUGGACUCAAAUGCCUGGCCUCAAAUUACCCUCCCGCCUCAGCCUCCCAAAGGGCUGGGAUUAUAAACAUGAAUCACCUCAUCUGGCUUCUCUUCUGUCUUGGAGUAAAGAACCUUCUAAUCAAAGGAACUGGGUUGAAGCUAGAGGUGCAUUCAGGCUUCCCAGAUUUGGAACUUCCAGAGAGAGGUCCACAUGAGAAAGGGACAAGCAGCCCCAGUGAAAAAAGUGCCUGGCACUUCAGAAACAACUGGAGGAGAGCUGUGGUUUCAGGGAAAGAGCCAUGCAUGAAGAAGCAACAUAUCAACCCCUGGCCUUGUUUUUACUAAAAUUCAUGACGCCACGCUUCAUUAGAGCCCAGUAACUGGAGUCCGAGCUUCCAUCGUCUUAUGGUCUUCAUUCUGUUUCAUGGCCAGUAACUUUCACCUUCAAAUCUUACCAAUCGAGAGCAUCCUUCCCAGGGCCUAUGACACAGACUUGCCCUACAAUAUGUGUUGGCCCAUCAGAGCCAAGGAAAGAAGGAGAUGUAGUAGUGUGAAGAGGCAAGUAUGGCAGUGGGUACUGGCAGCCAAACAACUUUCUCUGGGAAGCAUCUGGUGGUUUCUGAGCCAGAGUUGCUGAGGCUCACCCAAAUGCUCCCAUGAGGGACUUCCAAUUCAGCAGAUUGAAAACACAAGACAGAAUUUAGCACCAACCGGUUUACAUCAGAUGUCAAAUUCGGACACAAAUGCACAAAGGAGAAGUGACAUCAGCCCUCAUUUGGGCUGAGCUCGCAAACACUCACUCCUCCUCCUCCCUUCAUCUCUAACCACACAGAGCCUGUCUGUGUCCUGCUCAGAGAGGUCCAUUAGAGUCUCCUGCCUGGGAUCAAAUGCUGCUGACAGCUAGCCUGGCUGUUAAUGCCUUGUUCCUGUCACCCUCUCUCUCUCUUCUCUGACCAAUGUCUCAUAAGCCUGGACAUCACAGGGCAAUGCCCUGGCCAACACUUUGUCAAUCGUCCCCAUAGAGAGUACUGGGUAAUUUGGGUUUCACUGCAAGGCAGAGGUUAAGAAGGCUGACUCAUGAAUCAGACUGCCUGGUUUAGAGUCCUGGCUUAGUUAGUUAACUUUUUUUUUUUUUUUUCGAGACAGGGUCUCACUUUGUCACUCAGGCUGGAGUGCAGUGGUGAAACAUAGUUCAUUGCAGCCUCCAUUUCCCUGGUUCAAGUGAUUCUCCCGCCUCAGUCUCCCAAGUAGCUGGGACUACAGGUGCACCCUACCACACCUGGCUACUUUUUAACUUCUUCAUGCCUCAGUUUUCUCAUCUGUAAAAUGUGGCUGUUAUAACUACAAGGUAGUUGUGAAGAUUAAAUGAGUUAAUACAGGUGGCACAUGUAGAAUAAAGUGUCUAGCACAAAGCAACUACUCAAGAUCUUUAAGCUUGGAUCCUGAUGGAACUACUGUGACCAUGGCUCCCUAUCCCAAGAUCACCCGCAGAAGAGUUACAAAGAGAAAAUAUCAAGAAAUGAAGAAAAACUCGAGAAACCCCUUGGGUGAAGGAGAGGACCUUGUUUUGAAUUGGUGUGUGUGGUAGAAGGGUGGCUUUGAUUAGAGGCAGGAAGUGGCCAGGCACAGCUGUGGAAUGAUUAAAAAAAGAAAAGGAGCUCUCAGGGUUCUGAUCUCCCUUUUCCUCCACCACUGUCUUAUGACAAACGGUGCUACUCCCUCACUCGCCAUGACUCAAACUGUGGUCCGGGUGUUGGUAAGAGUAACAGCAAAGCACUGGAGAUGCACUGUGCUUGUGAUCAAAACAGGUAAGGGGGCAACCCAACUUUAGACAAAUGUUCCCCCUCCUUAGCCCUCUAAAUUUCCAGGGCAUGUGAACUAUACUCUAAGAAGUGUUUUGGCCACAGACACGGUGGCUCAUGCCUGUACUCCUAAGGCUGCUUUUCCCUGAUGGGAGGGCAAAGGGUGAAGCCCUGACAUGGAGAGUUAUUUUAUGAGUCUGAGCAUGACACACUUGGGAGUUUGGGAGCCAAGCAUUCUCGGUUUUAGGGCUCAUUCACCCCCAGCCUUCAACCUCUAAGCUCAAUGGCACUAGUAUGCAUUGUUGGACAGAACAACCUGUAUGGCCAAGGACAAAAUAACAAGACACCUGAAUAGCACAACUCAUCCGAAAGGAUACAACUUACUUGAUUACACAGUGUAACUUAAGUGGAAAUAUGACAACAGAUGGACCAAGAUUUUAAAAGUAGCCCAAAAAUCAUGCUAAAAGAGAUAAACGAAAAUAUUACUAAUAUGACACCAGGACAAGAAAAUGUAAAGAACAAACAGAAUAUCAACUAUAAAAAGUAUAAUAGAUGAAAUAAGAAAAAAUAUUUUUAAAAAACAAGCAGAUAUCUUAUGUAUGAAAAAGUAAUCACCAAAAUAGAGCACAUAAUAGAUUUGAAAAGUGGCAGAAUAGAUAUAGCUGGGAAACAAAUUAGGGAAUUGAAAAACAAGAAAGACUAUCUCCCAGAAGAAAAAAGAGGGCAAAGAAAUAGAAAACAUAAAAGAAAAGCUAAGAGAUAUGGAGGAUAGUACGUUUACAUUUAAUUGACAAUUUAAAAAAAGGGAUAUGAAAGAUAGAAGUCGAAAUGUUUUAGCCCAGUAUUCCCAGCACUUUGGGAGGCUGAGGCAGGCAGAUCACUUGAGGUCAGGAGUUCAAGACCAGCCUGGCCAACAUGGUGAAACCCUGUCUCUACUAAAAAUACAAAAAUCAGCUGGGCAUGGCAGUGCAUGCCUGUAAUUCCAGAUACUCAGGAGGCUGAGACAAGAGAAUUGCUUGAACUAGGGAAGCAGGGCUGCAGUGAGCCGAGAUUGUACCACUGCACUCCAGCCUGGGCAACAGAAUGAGACUCUGUCUAUAAGUAAAUAAAUAAAUAAAUAAAUAAAUUUAAGCUUCAAGGAAAGAAAACAUCUCUGACUUAUCUAGAUAGGUGAAGGAAUUUAUGCUCAAAUUGAAACCUUUCACAAUACAAAUCAAUAUACAUUAUUUCAAUGUAAGUAUGCAGAAGAUUCUAAUUGUAAUAAACAGUAUUAUGUAAAUUGGCUACAAAAACAAGAAAAGUUUAAAUAAUGCUUUGUUGAUAUUAAUAAAUUUAGAGUUGCUUUUGUUGAUAUUAAUAAAUUUAGAGUUGCUUUUUCAAUUUAUACAAUACCUCUUUGAAUUUCGUGUUAAUGAUACUGAGUUGACAGAAGAGUUAGUGAAUUUACU